GACAGAGGGUGCAAACGUUGCUCGGAAUCACUGGGCGUAAAGGGCGUGUAGGCGGGAAUGUAAGUCGGGCGUGAAAGCCCCAGGCUCAACCUGGGAACUGCACUCGAAACUGCGUUUCUUGAGUAUCGGAGAGGAGAGCGGAAUACCUGGUGUAGAGGUGAAAUUCGUAGAUAUCCGGAGGAACACCGGUGGCGAAGGCGGCUUCCUGGACCGACACUGACGCUGAGGCGCGAAAGCUAGGGGAGCAAACGGG
rnacentral:rRNA from 1 species